rnacentral:rRNA from 1 species
AUUGAACGCUGGCGGCGUGCCUAACACAUGCAAGUCGAGCGGUAACAGGUGUAGCAAUACAUGCUGACGAGCGGCGAACGGGUGAGUAAUGCUUCGGAAUCUACCCAAUGGUGGGGAAUAACCAGCCGAAAGGUUGGCUAAUACCGCAUACGUCCCACGGGAGAAAGCAGGGGAUCGCAAGACCUUGCGCCAAUGGAUGAGCCGAAGUCGGAUUAGCUAGUUGGAGGGUAACGGCCUACCAAGGCGACGAUCCGUAGCUGGUCUGAGAGGACGACCAGCCACACUGGGACUGAGACACGGCCCAGACUCCUACGGGAGGCAGCAGUGGGGAAUAUUGGACAAGUGGGGGAAACCCUGAUCCAGCGACGCCGCGUGUGUGAAGAAGGCCUGC